AUUGGUUUUCUCUUCUCCUCCCAGUUCCCUCCGCGUGUCGAUGCGUCUCUCGAAGACUCGCGUGGGCUCUCUGCCUCCGCCGCCCACCGCUCAACCGCCGAUGCACCACCGCUCAACCGCUGUAUCUCCUUAUAAAAUGGCUCCCGCCCCUCAAGCUUGCUCCAACGCCCAUGCCCAUCACGCAGCGCCCACACGCUCCAGCAGAUCCAGACGAUGUGAUGCUGGCGGUCGGCGAGGCCUCCUCGGCGCGCGGUUUGGUUCGCAGCGAACAGUGAAGCAGAGCUGCGUGGCGAUGGCGACGACCAGCGCAGGGCACGGGCGACACCGCGACAACAAGCACAAGGCCAUGGAGGGGCUCAUGCAGCGCGCGGCGGUGCGCGGCUAGGCGGACCUCACGCUGCGGCGGCGGCAGGUGCGUGCUAGCCGUGGCCAUGAGAAGGGGCUUGCGGCGUGACUGCGGCAUGCGGCAGCGGGGAUCUCCCCGACCUCUCCUACCCCCCUUCUGAUGUGGGGAACCAUGGAUUGCCGAUUUUUUGCUGAAUCUUUAGUCGUGUGGAAAUGGCGUUUUGGCUGGGACGCGACGGUGCGGCCACCGGCGCCCUGCGUCCUCCACCGGUGUCGCAUGCUCAUGCCCCUGCCCCCUUCCUUCGGCCGUCCAGACUGCCUCCGUCUCAGCCGGUGGAUGUCACUUCUUCCGCUGGCUUACUACUAAUGCAGGUGGAGUUCAACAUGGAAGAGCAUGGCCCAAGCAUCAUUCUGGGCGUAGCUGCCCACCUCUAUGUGACGACUGCUCUAAGGCAGACCAAGUGUUCGUCGUAAUGUCAGAGCGGCCACAGGUAAAAACAAAUCAGUCCAGUCCAUACAUUGUGUUGCUAUACUUAUGAAAACAGUUCCCGAAUCCAGGCACCAUAGAUUAUUGCCCUUAUGAUGCAUUUAGCUACUACUUCUGAACUCUGGAUUUGAUGGAGGUUUGCAUGUUUGUAGUGAUGAUCUUCGAGGUCUGUGUAGUGCCGGAAGACAGCGACCAGUAGCGGGCGCUCGCGCACUGCUUCUGGGAUGACACAGUCAGGACUAAUAAGGAUGAGGAUCAUGUUCAUAUUUCCAGUGGGUUCGUUCCAGUGGUAUGGACGCGGCGAGGCAAUUUAUAAAGUUUGCCAGAGCAGCCACUGCGUACUAUCCCACACUCUCUAUCGACGGACCACCUUCUUCCACGCCGACGCCGGUCGCCGGGGUAUGGUCAUCCAUCGCCAUGCAAGAGCGCUCUAAUCCCCUAGACAGUACUGCUCACAGCAGUUGCAGGCGCGAACGCAUUGCCCUCAGCCGUGGAUGCCACUGUCCCGAACCAAGGAUGUGCAGGCAUGUUUUAGAUUAUGAUUGUGCAAAGGAAUAUGUUAGAAAAUGACGGUCUGCAAUGGUGUACCAAAAUAUUGAACAUCUUCUGAUUUUACUGGAAGAUUGAUGUGGACAUUGAAGUUAUUGCACCGGCAGCUGAUUUUUUUCCCUUCACAUUUUUGAAGACUGAAUUUUCAGCAGCACUGCACCAUUAAUUAGCUUUCUGCAUGUGACUUGUGAUUGCAGCUGAUGAAGCCGUCAACCAUUGGAGGCAUGGAAUUGUCGAGCCCAAGGUUCGUCACCCUUGUUUUCUAAAGGGAAGCUAAAGUUGGGGUUGCCAAUCUCCGAGGAUUUUCUCAACGGUUGAAAAGUUUGAUCACUGAGGAAUGGGGAUUACAGUCACAGAUUAUUAUUCGGUUAUUCCUCUUGCUGGUGCCUCCGCUGAAAGUUAUGCAUCUAUAUACAACCAUAUAUAUAAGUUUGCCUCUUCAAUCAGAAGAUUGUAUUAGCUAUUCAAUUCAUAGUUCAACCUUUGAAUAUACAGUUUUGGCUGAGUAGUUUGAGCCUCUGUUGUGCAACUGGAUCAUGGUACACAUCCAGACCUGCAGCUGUGUUUUAUUUUAUUAUCCUUUUUAGAAACUGACACGCUGCCUUCGUUGCCUAAACCCGUGCUUUAAUUAAAUGAUAAAUUUACUAUAAAGAUUUUUUUCUUUGACUCUUAUAUGAAAAAAUUGUACGAACAUGUGAUUGCCAUCCAGAUUAGUCAGGUCAUCCUGCAAAUAACUGUGGGAUACAUUACUGAUACUUACUCAAUCAUUGUAGUGAAAUAAUACAAGAUGGUGAACACCUCGGAUGCAGCUCAAAGGUCAAAUAUCAUGAUAUAGAGUAGGCAUUAAACCUAUCUUAUCUACUUAAUUUUUUGUUGCAGACUAAUCGUCUAUCUUAUCCGUACAUGGCUGAUUAGGAAGUAGUACAGUACCUGCAUGUUUAAUAGUUAUCAGAUUAUUUCUGUACAUAGUUGAUUUGUGUAUUGAGACGGGAGGCCAAGUUGUUCAAUUUGUGGAUUUGAUUUAUUCAGACUGGUGGCAUUCCUUAAUUUCUGAUUCCUGUUUAUGUUUGGUUUUGAGCUGUAAAUUAUUUAUUCUGGCACAUCUAACGGCUGCUUCUUUUGUCUAGCCUUCUUUCAAUGAAAUAUUUCCAGUCAGUAGACUAUACUUGCUAUUCCAAUCACAUACAGGCCUAGGGUUGUCCACUAAGAGAAGGUGCAACAAAUUCACUUGGUUUGUGAAUAUCCUUGGGUUUGUACUAAUAUAAGCUAGCAACUUUUCAUAUAUAUGCCAGGUUGUCUUCAAGCCAUAGAAGCACUAUCGAGCCCUGGAGCUGUGGCGACAGUGCCAUCCCAGCCACCGGCUUCCUCUUCCAUGCCAUGGCCAUCCAGGAGGAGUGCCACGGCUAUCGCAGUUCUCCCCAUGCCAUCCUCCUGGAUGUUGAUCGUGUCCUUGCACCGGCGGCAGCUGGAGCCUGGUACGUCCAGAGAGGCAUGGCCUUGGAUUGGAGCAUUGCAGUCAUCGAUCCACUUCGUGGUAGCCAUGGGGUAGGGUGGUGUAGAACUCAGCCCCGUGAGCUGCAGUUCACCAGUUCAUUCCUCAGCUGUAAGCCUAGCAAGAAGGAAAAUGGUUUGUGCUAUAUAUACGACUGAACUGGACAAUCACAUAGAAGGUAGAUAUUUGCACAUCUGAUUUCUUUUGUGUAGUCUGGGUACUCUUUCCCAUGGUGUUAAAAAAAAUAUAUGUUUGUGAAGUUGUAUGACUUACGUGAUUUUGUAGCACACUAAGUUGACCCAAACUGGCUUGAAUUUGUUGGUUAUUUGGCCUUGCCUGAACACGGUUGGUGAAAGCAGCAGUGCUUGCUUUGAUUUUUUUUUGUUCAGUUAAAUCAUUCACAUGAGUAUCUCAAUUUAAUUAACAGUGUAAGUUGAUUGUGAGGCUGUGUAUUUUUUGUCGAAGAAGAAAGUACCACCACAUGUAACUCAUUUGCACUUAGUGAAUUUCAGUUGGCAUCUUAAUAUUGGCCCUACUUUACAAUAUAAAGCAUUGCUCUGUUUGUAGGUUGCAGCAAGAUAUGCAAAAUACCCGUGCUUCUUACUAAUGAUGAUCCUAAUGUUAAUUCAAUGGGGAAAUGAAUAUCGAGUGCGGACAUAGUGUUGUUCUUUUAGGGCAAGAAAGAGAAAAAUGUUAAUUUUGGUUCCUUCCUUUUUAUGUAUAUGGAUGCAAUGUGUGCUUUCUGUCUAUUUGUAAUCUGUCUUAUAGGUAUACUCAUGAAGUAUACGACCAUUACUCCCUACAGUACAUAGUUCGGAUUUCUCAUUUGUAUAGUUCAAUGCUUUCGGUUUGGAUAGUUCACUCUUCCUAUUUGGUACCAAUUUCAAACUGAAGGACCGAUUCUUGAUCUUCUUCUAUAUUGGGUAUUGUUUAGUUUUGUGGGUAAUUUUAGUUCAUUUAUUUUGCAUAUUCCCAAUUUUUGUACAACUUCUCCGUAAGAAAUAGACACACUAGAUUCAUACACCUACCUUUGAAAAAUAUCAAUUUUUUGGCCAUAGGUGCUGAGUCCAAUGCGUAGAAUCUUCUAGAACCAUCUAUGACUUCAGCACCAAGGGAAAGGAGGGGCAGAGGAAGAGGCACAAUAAUGUAAGUUAGGUGGUCAAUUGCAUGGUCCGCUGGGAGAGAUUUGGCUGCCUAUGAACUGAUUUGUGGUGGGUGCGUUGAUAAUGAUCAAUAUUUGCUCAUCACCAUUCUGUGGUGUUGAUCCUCUAUUAUUACUCAUUGUUGGAAUACUAACUGUUAAAGUUUGUAGUUGUAGCGUUGUUGCAUGAACAUCCUUAGGCAUUUGUUUACCAGAGACCAUGCUUUCUGAUUUUCUUGAUGACUUGACAAACAAAUAGAAUUGCAAUAUGCAUGGAUAAAUUGGUCAUAAACUCUUGAUUUCCUCUGCUCGGCAUAGUGACUAAUUUAGUGGUGAGCAGGUAGUUACCCAGUGUUUGUCUUAUUGUUUGUAGGUGGUCCUUCCUGUAGGUCUGUUGGGCAGGGCGAUUUGCGUGUCCCCUGUUCCUCCGUUCUGGUUGCGUCUUUUGGCCCAACUAUGGAUGUGGGAGGAGACCUUUAUGAACUCUAGGUCUGAUGUGUAGUCUUGGCAGAAAGAAACCACAAUGCAUAUACUUUUCAUCUUGCAAGAUGUAGCACUCAUGAUCAUAAUAAU